rnacentral:tRNA from 1 species
GGAGAGGUGGCAGAGUGGUCUAACGCACCGCACUUGAAAUGCGGCGUCCGGGGAACUGGACCGAGAGUUCGAAUCUCUCCCUCUCCGCAA